rnacentral:rRNA from 1 species
GCAUGAGUGAUGGUGGAAAGUUUUUUUGGUUGGGGAUGGNCUCGCGGCCUAUCAGUUUGUUGGUGAGGUAAUGGCUCACCAAGACGACGACGGGUAGCCGGCCUGAGAGGGCGACCGGCCACACUGGGACUGAGACACGGCCCAGACUCCUACGGGAGGCAGCAGUGGGGAAUAUUGCACAAUGGGGGAAACCCUGAUGCAGCGACGCAGCGUGCGGGAUGACGGCCUUCGGGUUGUAAACCGCUUUCAGCAGGGAAGAAGCCUUUCGGGGUGACGGUACCUGCAGAAGAAGUACCGGCUAACUACGUGCCAGCAGCCGCGGUAAUACGUAGGGUACAAGCGUUGUCCGGAAUUAUUGGGCGUAAAGAGCUCGUAGGUGGUUGGUCACGUCUGCUGUGGAAACGCAACGCUUAACGUUGCGCGUGCAGUGGGUACGGGCUGACUAGAGUGCAGUAGGGGAGUCUGGAAUUCCUGGUGUAGCGGUGAAAUGCGCAGAUAUCAGGAGGAACACCGGUGGCGAAGGCGGGACUCUGGGCUGUAACUGACACUGAGGAGCGAAAGCAUGGGGAGCGAACAGGAUUAGAUACCCUGGUAGUCCAUGCCGUAAACGUUGGGCACUAGGUGUGGGGGACAUUCCACGUUCUCCGCGCCGUAGCUAACGCAUUAAGUGCCCCGCCUGGGGAGUACGGUCGCAAGGCUAAAACUCAAAGGAAUUGACGGGGGCCCGCACAAGCGGCGGAGCAUGCGGAUUAAUUCGAUGCAACGCGAAGAACCUUACCAAGGCUUGACAUACACCAGACCGUUCUGGAAACAGUUCCUCCCCUUUGGGGUUGGUGUACAGGUGGUGCAUGGUUGUCGUCAGCUCGUGUCGUGAGAUGUUGGGUUAAGUCCCGCAACGAGCGCAACCCUCGUUCUAUGUUGCCAGCACGUGAUGGUGGGAACUCAUAGGAGACUGCCGGGGUCAACUCGGAGGAAGGUGGGGAUGACGUCAAAUCAUCAUGCCCUUUAUGUCUUGGGCUUCACGCAUGCUACAAUGGCUGGUACAGAGAGAUGCGGGACCGCGAGGUUUUAGCGAAUCCCUUAAGGCCAGUCUCAGUUCGGAUCGUAGUCUGCAAUUCGACUACGUGAAGUCGGAGUCGCUAGAAUCGCAGAUCAG